rnacentral:rRNA from 1 species
AUGGCCGUCUACGACCCCCUCACACGAGCCCUGGAUCUCUUCCCCAGGCCGCCCGGCGAGAUCUGCGAAGACAUGUACGUCGAGUACCACGUCCUCCCCUCCGACGAAGAACGCGGCCCGUUCCGCGUCAUCUGCGUCUGCCACGAAGCUUGCGGUGCGCAAGCCGCCGUCCUCUCAUCAGAGACCGGGGAGUGGCAGGUCUUCCCGUUUGUGGAGGCCGCAGCCAUGCAGCCUGGGGACGACAACGAGAAGUGUUCUGGCAACGGGACGCUGGUGAACGGGUCCAUCUAUUGGACAGACGGGAGCCGAGCCCUUGCGCGCGUGCUGAACACCUCGACAUUGCACUUCUCUCGCAUCGACCUGCCUCCGCACAUCGAAGGGCAAGGAGCGCUCACGGCUGGUGAGACCAAGGAUGGGAGGCUCUGCAUCAUCAGCACCGUCAAGCUCACACUUGUGGUUUGGUUCCAGAGAACCGAUGAUGAUGGUGUCGAGAGAUGGACGCAGCACAAGACAUUUCCGUUAGAGCAGGACAUUCAUGCGCACGAUCACUGCUUCGACCAUGAUCACAUUGCGCUGAAGAUUCUGGCGAUUGUCAAUGGCUUUGUGUACUUGUCUACUUACUGUGAGCCGGAUCGCGAUUUGCCUGGUUUGUUCCUGUCCUUCUGCCUAGAAACAGCAAAGCUGAAUAAGCUCUGCACUAUCCUUUACCCUAACAGUUUGUAUCCCUACAUCAUGGCGUGGCCUCCUUCUUUGGUGCUCAACGAGCCCACCAGAAACUACUGA